UGACGUUUAUGUUUAUAUAAUUAGAUUACAACUAAGUUUGUGUAUGGCUUGUUUAUAUUAUUUCAGAAUUUGCUAUUUUAGACACUUGGUAUAAGCUGUCAUACUACACGUGGCAUGUGGUAUCCCACUAAUUAGCUGUUUUAAACAUGUGACAAGUGGUAUGACACUGUAUUGAUGUAUGUGAAAUGUAUAGAGUCUUUCAGUUAUCAGAUAAUGUCAAGGAGUUGACAGCAUGGUGUCCGAUUUAAAGUGCGAACCUGUGUACGAGUAACAACAGUAUUCAAAACCAAAACCUAUUUAAACCAACCAAACAAAAACUAGAGACCAAAAACUAUCUUGGCAUUGGUUUAUUUUAA